GUAGUGUUUUUGUGUUAGUUUCCAGAGUAUUACAAGAUUAUUCGCAAACCUAUGGACUUCCAUACCAUGAAAAUCAAACUUCGUGACUAUCAAUACACAUCUCGUCAAGAGUUCGUCGAAGACAGUCGUCUUGUGUUUCGAAAUUGCAAUGAAUUCAAUGAAGAUGAUUCUGAGGUCGGACAAGCAGGAAAACGAAUAUCUGUAUUCUUUGAACAUCGCUGGAAGGAGUUAAUAAACCAGGAAAGCUAGUUAUUCCCGCCGAUAGAAGAAGUGUCGAAGUCUGCAUAUGAUCUGUUCGCCUUCAAGAAUACAACAACAUGUAGGAAUGACGCMAAGCGAUUCUGGUCAUAUCGAACACAACAGCAGAACAGUGCAAUGAUUUUUUUAAAUUACGCUCUCAUAAAAACUAAGUAUGGAACGAUCUCGUUCGCCGAGGUCAAUAAAUUCUACAAUUUUUUAAUAAAUGUCCAAUUGCUCUAGUUUUAUAAGUGAAAUUUUUGUGAAUGGGUGACCUGCCCUGAUGAUUUGAAUAUUGCAUAAAUUAUCUUUAUAAGUUGGACAUCUACGUGUGAAAAAUAUCUCGUCUUGUUUUAGUUUUUCAAAGAGUCUUGUACAUAUAUAUCGUAUUUAAACCUYGUCUUGUAUAGCACUGUUUUCUAAGGGAUUUGUAUGAUUGUUACAAUAUAGAUACAAAUAAAUAAGAAGGAUUUUA